CCUACGGGUGGCAGCAGUGGGGAAUAUUGGGCAAUGGGCGAAAGCCUGACCCAGCAACGCCGCGUGAAGGAAGAAGGCUUUCGGGUUGUAAACUUCUUUUAUGAGGGAAGAGCAGGAGACGGUACACCUUGAAUAAGCCACGGCUAACCACGUCACAGCACGCGCGGUAAUACGGAGGUGGCAAGCGUUGUCCGGAAUUACUGGGUGUAAAGGGCGUGCAGCCGGGAAGUCAAGUCAGAUGUUAAAUACAGGGGCUCAACCGCGGAACUGCAUUUGAAACUGGUUUUCUUGAGUACGGUAGAGGUCAUCGGAAUUCCUUGUGUAGCGGUGAAAUGCGUAGAUAUAAGGAAGAACACCAGUGGCGAAGGCGGAUGACUGGGCGGAAACUGACGGUGAGGCGCGAAAGCGUGGGGAGCAAAUAGGAUUAGAUACCCGUGUAGUC
rnacentral:rRNA from 1 species